CGCGUAGGCGGUUGGAUAAGUCAGCUGUGAAAACCACGGGCUUAACUCGUGGCCUGCAGUUGAGACUGUCUGGCUUGAGUGUGGGAGAGGAGAGUGGAAUUCCUGGUGUAGCGGUGAAAUGCGUAGAUAUCAGGAGGAACACCGGUGGCGAAGGCGGCUCUCUGGACCACAACUGACGCUGAGGCGCAAAGCUAGGGAGCAAACA
rnacentral:rRNA from 1 species